CGCCUACGGGAGGCAGCAGUGAGGAAUAUUGCGCAAUGGGGGCAACCCUGACGCAGCAACGCCGGGUGUGGGAAGAAGGCUUUCGGGUUGUAAACCACUUUUGCCCGGGACGAAAGGGGGGACCUGAAUAAGGUUGCCCGAUGACGGUACCGGGAGAAUAAGCCACGGCUAACUCUGUGCCAGCAGCCGCGGUAAGACAGAGGUGGCAAGCGUUGUUCGGAGUUACUGGGCGUAAAGAGUCUGUAGGUGGUCUGUCAAGUCUUUGGUGAAAGGCCGUGGCUUAACCAUGGGAAUGCCAAAGAGACUGGCAGACUGGAGGCUGGGAGAGGGAAGCGGAAUUUCUGGUGUAGCGGUGAAAUGCGUAGAUAUCAGAAGGAAGGCCGGUGGCGAAGGCGGCUUCCUGGAACAGACCUGACACUGAGAGACGAAAGCGUGGGGAGCAAACAGGAUUAGAUACCCUGGUAGUCCACGCCCUAAACGGAUGGGUACUAAGUGUGGGAGGGUUAAACCUCCCGUGCCGCAGCCAACGCAGUAAGUACCCCGCCUGGGGAGUACGACCGCAA
rnacentral:rRNA from 1 species